rnacentral:rRNA from 1 species
UACGUAGGGUGCAAGCGUUGUCCGGAAUUAUUGGGCGUAAAGAGCUCGUAGGCGGUCUGUCGCGUCGGCUGUGAAAUCCCGAGGCUCAACCUCGGGUCUGCAGUCGAUACGGGCAAACUAGAGUAUUGCAGGGGAGACUGGAAAUUCCUGGUGUAGCGGUGAAAUGCGCAGAUAUCAGGAGGAACACCGGUGGCGAAGGCGGGUCUCUGGGCAAUAACUGACGCUGGAGGAAGCGAAAGGCGUGGG